rnacentral:rRNA from 1 species
GUUAAGCGACUAAGCGUACACGGUGGAUGCCCUGGCAGUCAGAGGCGAUGAAGGACGUGCUAAUCUGCGAUAAGCGUCGGUAAGGUGAUAUGAACCGUUAUAACCGGCGAUUUCCGAAUGGGGAAACCCAGUGUGAUUCGUCACACUAUCAUUAACUGAAUCCAUAGGUUAAUGAGGCGAACCGGGGGAACUGAAACAUCUAAGUACCCCGAGGAAAAGAAAUCAACCGAGAUUCCCCCAGUAGCGGCGAGCGAACGGGGAGCAGCCCAGAGCCUGAAUCAGUGUGUGUGUUAGUGGAAGCGUCUGGAAAGGCGCGCGAUACAGGGUGACAGCCCCGUACACAAAAAUGCACAUGCUGUGAGCUCGAUGAGUAGGGCGGGACACGUGGUAUCCUGUCUGAAUAUGGGGGGACCAUCCUCCAAGGCUAAAUACUCCUGACUGACCGAUAGUGAACCAGUACCGUGAGGGAAAGGCGAAAAGAACCCCGGCGAGGGGAGUGAAAAAGAACCUGAAACCGUGUACGUACAAGCAGUGGGAGCACGCUUAGGCGUGUGACUGCGUACCUUUUGUAUAAUGGGUCAGCGACUUAUAUUCUGUAGCAAGGUUAACCGAAUAGGGGAGCCGAAGGGAAACCGAGUCUUAACUGGGCGUUAAGUUGCAGGGUAUAGACCCGAAACCCGGUGAUCUAGCCAUGGGCAGGUUGAAGGUUGGGUAACACUAACUGGAGGACCGAACCGACUAAUGUUGAAAAAUUAGCGGAUGACUUGUGGCUGGGGGUGAAAGGCCAAUCAAACCGGGAGAUAGCUGGUUCUCCCCGAAAGCUAUUUAGGUAGCGCCUCGUGAAUUCAUCUCCGGGGGUAGAGCACUGUUUCGGCAAGGGGGUCAUCCCGACUUACCAACCCGAUGCAAACUGCGAAUAUCGGAGAAUGUUAUCACGGGAGACACACGGCGGGUGCUAACGUCCGUCGUGAAGAGGGAAACAACCCAGACCGCCAGCUAAGGUCCCAAAGUCAUGGUUAAGUGGGAAACGAUGUGGGAAGGCCCAGACAGCCAGGAUGUUGGCUUAGAAGCAGCCAUCAUUUAAAGAAAGCGUAAUAGCUCACUGGUCGAGUCGGCCUGCGCGGAAGAUGUAACGGGGCUAAACCAUGCACCGAAGCUGCGGCAGCGACACUGUGUGUUGUUGGGUAGGGGAGCGUUCUGUAAGCCUGCGAAGGUGUGCUGUGAGGCAUGCUGGAGGUAUCAGAAGUGCGAAUGCUGACAUAAGUAACGAUAAAGCGGGUGAAAAGCCCGCUCGCCGGAAGACCAAGGGUUCCUGUCCAACGUUAAUCGGGGCAGGGUGAGUCGACCCCUAAGGCGAGGCCGAAAGGCGUAGUCGAUGGGAAACAGGUUAAUAUUCCUGUACUUGGUGUUACUGCGAAGGGGGGACGGAGAAGGCUAUGUUGGCCGGGCGACGGUUGUCCCGGUUUAAGCGUGUAGGCUGGUUUUCCAGGCAAAUCCGGAAAAUCAAGGCUGAGGCGUGAUGACGAGGCACUACGGUGCUGAAGCAACAAAUGCCCUGCUUCCAGGAAAAGCCUCUAAGCAUCAGGUAACAUCAAAUCGUACCCCAAACCGACACAGGUGGUCAGGUAGAGAAUACCAAGGCGCUUGAGAGAACUCGGGUGAAGGAACUAGGCAAAAUGGUGCCGUAACUUCGGGAGAAGGCACGCUGAUACGUAGGUGAAGUCCCUCGCGGAUGGAGCUGAAAUCAGUCGAAGAUACCAGCUGGCUGCAACUGUUUAUUAAAAACACAGCACUGUGCAAACACGAAAGUGGACGUAUACGGUGUGACGCCUGCCCGGUGCCGGAAGGUUAAUUGAUGGGGUCAGCGCAAGCGAAGCUCUUGAUCGAAGCCCCGGUAAACGGCGGCCGUAACUAUAACGGUCCUAAGGUAGCGAAAUUCCUUGUCGGGUAAGUUCCGACCUGCACGAAUGGCGUAAUGAUGGCCAGGCUGUCUCCACCCGAGACUCAGUGAAAUUGAACUCGCUGUGAAGAUGCAGUGUACCCGCGGCAAGACGGAAAGACCCCGUGAACCUUUACUAUAGCUUGACACUGAACAUUGAGCCUUGAUGUGUAGGAUAGGUGGGAGGCUUUGAAGUGUGGACGCCAGUCUGCAUGGAGCCGACCUUGAAAUACCACCCUUUAAUGUUUGAUGUUCUAACGUUGACCCGUAAUCCGGGUUGCGGACAGUGUCUGGUGGGUAGUUUGACUGGGGCGGUCUCCUCCUAAAGAGUAACGGAGGAGCACGAAGGUUGGCUAAUCCUGGUCGGACAUCAGGAGGUUAGUGCAAUGGCAUAAGCCAGCUUGACUGCGAGCGUGACGGCGCGAGCAGGUGCGAAAGCAGGUCAUAGUGAUCCGGUGGUUCUGAAUGGAAGGGCCAUCGCUCAACGGAUAAAAGGUACUCCGGGGAUAACAGGCUGAUACCGCCCAAGAGUUCAUAUCGACGGCGGUGUUUGGCACCUCGAUGUCGGCUCAUCACAUCCUGGGGCUGAAGUAGGUCCCAAGGGUAUGGCUGUUCGCCAUUUAAAGUGGUACGCGAGCUGGGUUUAGAACGUCGUGAGACAGUUCGGUCCCUA